rnacentral:rRNA from 1 species
AGGGGGGGAAAGACAACAGGGAUUGCCUUAGUAACUGCGAGUGAAGCGGCAAAAGCUCAAAUUUGAAAUCUGGCAUCUUUUGGUGUCUGAGUUGUAAUUUAGAGGGGCAUUUUCAGGUUUAAUACUAUUCUAAGUUCUUUGGAACAGGACAUCAUAGAGGGUGAGAAUCCCGUGCCUGGGUAGUUGUUUAAUCCUAUGUGAAGUGUCUCCGACGAGUCGAGUUGUUUGGGAAUGCAGCUCAAAAUGGGUGGUAAAUUUCAUCUAAAGCUAAAUAUUGGCGAGAGACCGAUAGCGCACAAGUAGAGUGAUCGAAAGAUGAAAAGCACUUUGAAAAGAGAGUUAAAAAGUACGUGAAAUUGUUGAAAGGGAAGCACUUGCGACCAGAAUCAAUCUUUGGGGGUCAUCUAGGUUUUGGCUUGGUGCCAUCCCUAUUGAUUGGGCUAGCAUCGGUUUUGGUGGCAGGAUAAAAGGUUGAGGGAAUGUGGCUCUCCUUGGAGAGUGUUAUAGCCCUUAUCAUAAUACUGCCUACUGGGACCGAGGAUCGCGCUUAAUAAGCUAGGAUGCUGGCAUAAUGGUCUUAAGUGACCCGUCUUGAAACACGGACCAAGGAGUCUAACAUCUAUGCGAGUGUUUGGGUGGAAAACCCUUGCGCGUAAUGAAAGUAAAUGGAGGUGGGAACCUUUUAACAGAGGUGCACCAUCGACCAGUCCUAAAGUUUUACGGAAGGAUCUGAGUAAGAGCAUAGCUGUUGGGACCCGAAAGAUGGUGAACUAUGCCUGAAUAGGGUGAAGCCAGAGGAAACUCUGGUGGAGGCUCGCAGCGGUUCUGACGUGCAAAUCGAUCGUCAAAUUUGGGUAUAGGGGCGAAAGACUAAUCGAACCAUCUAGUAGCUGGUUCCUGCCGAUUUUCCCCUCAAGAAAAGGAAGGGA